rnacentral:rRNA from 1 species
UAGGGAAUUUUGCGCAAUGGGCGAAAGCCUGACGCAGCAACACCGCGUGUAGGAUGAAGGAUUUCGGUUCGUAAACUACUGUCAGCAGGGAAUAAUAAUGACUGUACCUGCAGAGGAAGCAUCGGCUAACUACGUGCCAGCAGCCGCGGUAAGACGUAGGAUGCAAGCGUUGUCCGGAAUUAUUGGGCGUAAAGAGUUCGUAGGCGGUUGCCUAAGUCUGAUGUUAAAUACUAGAGCUCAACUCUGGCAUGGCAUUGGAAACUGGGCAGCUAGAGUGCGGUAGAGGUCUCGGGAAUUCCAGGUGUAGCGGUGAAAUGCGUAGAUAUCUGGAGGAACACCGGUGGCGAAAGCGCGAGACUGGGCCGUAACUGACGCUGAGGAACGAAAGCCAGGGGAGCGAAAG